AAUUGGGGAAAAGAGGAUAAGGGGAGAGGGGAAGAAGAGAGGAGGGGAGCGGGGAGGAAAAAUAAUGGCUUUCUCCCUCUCAAAUUGAAACGACUGUAGAGUGUUUUUUGAGAGAGAUAGUGCUAAGAUUUUUUCUUUGAAUAUUUGUUCAAAAUAUAAAUAAACAAAUAUAUUAAAGAACCAAAAUUCUUGGUUUCUCGUCUCUAUCAAGUCUAGCAUCUAAUUUGAUGAAUCAAAUAUAUUCAUUAGACUAACGGGAAAAUUUGCAUGUAUGUAUAAUGGCAGUUUAGAGAUUUACGUUAAAACUAAGGGCAAGAAUGUUAGAUGGUGAUCCAUUCAUCUAAAGUAGUGCUGAGUCAGCAAACGGCGAUGAUGUACGUACGCGUUGUUCCGCGACAGAUAGACAGGGAUCGGUCUGGUCCGAUAAUGCCAAAAAAGAAGAAGGAAAAAGUAAAAGCCCACUUUGACCGGGUCUUGUCCUCCUCCUCCUCCUCCUCCUCUUUUGGCCCUUUUCCGAUUCCCUACAACGCUUCUGCACGAUCCACAUCUGCUCCCUCCCUUGCUUUCCCCACCUUUUUAUUUGCCUAAAUAUCUGGAAUUUUUUUGGAUGGUACAUAAUUUCUUUUGCUUUUGCCUUCAAAUUUGUAGAUUUUCAGAUAAAUAUUGUACUAAUUUACACUUUUUAAUUAUUUUAUUAAUUUAUUGAUUAUUGGUAUUCAUAUUAAAAAUGAAUAUGUGUGUCAGUUAUGUUAUUGUUCAUGAUCAUCGGAAACAAUUACAUUCUGUGGCAGAGCUAGUACAUUGUCUUUGGGGUCAAUACUGUAAUUAUAAGGUUUUAUAGUCUUAUAUUUCAACUGAUAUUGCAGCAGGUGUUUAAAAGUUAUUGG
rnacentral:lncRNA from 1 species